rnacentral:rRNA from 1 species
UAGCUACUUGCAUCAUUGUAGAUAUGAUGUAAGAUCGACUAUGUUGAAUAAAAUUCUAGGUAGAAUUAUGAUAAUGACAUUGUCUGCCUAUGUGUCUUGACCAAAUUACGUGCCAGCAGUCGCGGUAAUACGUAGAAGACUAGUGUUAUUCAUGUUUAAUCGGUUUAAAGGGUACCUAGACGGUAGAUCAAGCUUUCUAAUAAAUGAAAAGGACUAAUUUACUAGAGUUACUUAUGAGGGGGUAUUAAAGUACUGCUGGUGUAGAGAUGAAAUUCUGUCAUACCUCUUUUCAAAAGAAAAACCAUGGCACAGGUAUAGGCGAAGGCAUCCCCUUAUGUGAUAACUGACGUUGAGGGACGAAGGCUUUGUGUAGCGAACAGGAUUAGAUACCCCAGUAGUCGAAGCAGAAAAUGAUGAAUGUCAUAGAUUAGAUGUAUAAGUUUAUUCUAUAAAUGAAAGUGUAAGCAUUCCACCUCAUGAGUAAUUUGGCAACAUUGGAACUGAAAUCAUUAGACCGUUUCUGAAACCAGUAGUGAAGUAUGUUGUUUAAUUUGAUGAUCCGCAAAAAACCUUACCACAAUUUGAAUAUUUAUAUUUUUUUUAUUGUUUUUUUCUUAAGAGAUAAAUAAUUAAAGAAAAAAAUCAAAAAAGGAAGAAAAUUAAGAAAGAGGCAAUAAGAUAUAUUUACAAGCGUUGCACGGCUGUCUUCAGUUAAUGUCGCGAGACUUUGGUUAGUUCCAUUAAAUUAACGUAAACCCUUACUUUAUUUUUAUAUAGAGUAGUUCCCCGCUAUAUGGAUAUGAUAACAGG